rnacentral:rRNA from 1 species
UACGUAGGGGGCAAGCGUUGUCCGGAAUUAUUGGGCGUAAAGAGCGCGUAGGCGGUCCGGUAAGUCGGUUGUGAAAGUCGGGGGCUCAACCCUCGGAUGCCGAUCGAUACUGUCGGGCUAGAGUCCGGAAGAGGCGAGUGGAAUUCCUGGUGUAGCGGUGAAAUGCGUAGAUAUCUGAAAGAACACCAGUGGCGAAGGCGGUCAACUGGCUUUUACUAACACUCAGAGACGAAAGCUAGGGUAGCAAAUGGG